CCUACGGGUGGCAGCAGUGGGGAAUUUUGCGCAAUGCUCGUAAGAGUGACGCAGCGACGCCGCGUGAAUGACGAAGGCCCUCGGGUCGUAAAGUUCCUUCGACAGGGAAGAAAAUGCCUAUAAGUAACUGUGUAUGUAUUGACGGUACCAGUAUAAGCAGCCCCGGCUAACUCCGUGCCAGCAGCCGCUGUAAUACGGAGGGGGCGAGCGUUGUUCGGAGUGACUGGGCGUAAAGAGCACGUAGGCGGUGGUGUAAGUCAUUAGUCAAAGACUAGCGCUCAACUUUGUUAAGGCUAGUGAUACUAUAAUACUAGAGUAUAAGAGAGGAUUGCAGAAUUCCUGGUGUAGCGGUGAAAUGCGUAGAUAUCAGGAAGAAUACCGUUUGCGAAGGCAGCAAUCUGGCUGGAAACUGACGCUGAGGUGCGAAAGCGUGGGUAGCAAACAGGAUUAGAUACCCUUGUAGUC
rnacentral:rRNA from 1 species